rnacentral:rRNA from 1 species
AACGAACGCUGGCGGCAGGCUUAACACAUGCAAGUCGAGCGCAUCCUUCGGGGUGAGCGGCAGACGGGUGAGUAACGCGUGGGAAUGUACCCUUUGCUACGGAAUAGCUCCGGGAAACUGGAAUUAAUACCGUAUGAGCCCUUCGGGGGAAAGAUUUAUCGGCAAAGGAUCAGCCCGCGUUGGAUUAGCUAGUUGGUGGGGUAAAGGCCUACCAAGGCGACGAUCCAUAGCUGGUCUGAGAGGAUGAUCAGCCACAUUGGGACUGAGACACGGCCCAAACUCCUACGGGAGGCAGCAGUGGGGAAUAUUGGACAAUGGGCGCAAGCCUGAUCCAGCCAUGCCGCGUGAGUGAUGAAGGCCUUAGGGUUGUAAAGCUCUUUCAGUAGGGAAGAUAAUGACGGUACCUACAGAAGAAGCCCCGGCUAACUUCGUGCCAGCAGCCGCUGUAACAC